rnacentral:rRNA from 1 species
GAACGAUGGCUAAUGCCGGAUAACAUGUUUUACCGCAUGGUUCAUGCUUGAAAGAAGGUCUUGCUGCCCCUUAAAAAGGAACCGGCUCCUUAUUACUUAUUGGGGAGGGAACCGGCUUACCAGGGUUACAAUCCUUACCCAACCGGAAAGGGGGACCGGCCCCCCGGGACCGGAAACCCGGCCCAAACUCCAACGGAAGGCGCCAUUAGGAAUCCUUCCGCAUGGGGGCAACCCCGGACGAACCACCCCCGCGGGAGGGAUAAAGGUCUUCGAACCUAAAGCUUCGGUGGAUAAGAAAAACUGUAUGUGUAGUGAACUGUGUCCCUCUUGACGGUAUCUAACCAGAAAGGCACGGCUAACUACGUGCCAGCAGCCGCGGUAAUACGUAGGUGCCGAGCGUUAUCCGGAUUUAUUGGGCGUAAAGCGCGCGUAGGCGGUUUGAUAAGUCUGAUGUGAAGGCUGCGGCUCAGCCGUGGAGCGCCAUUGAACUGGCAACCUGGAUGGCGAGGAGGAGUGGAAUUCCUGGUGCGUGAAUGCUCGAGAUUGAGACACGUGGCGAUGCGACUCUGGUCGUACUGACCUGAAGGUCGAAGCUUGGGAUCACAGAUGGAUACCUGCUAGUCAGGCGUACGAUGAGCUAGUGAUAGUCUUCGGACUUAGUGCUGCAGCUAUCAUAGCACUCGCUGUAUACAUCGAGACUGACUCAGAUGACGGACGACAGCGUGAGCAUGC